rnacentral:rRNA from 1 species
GAUGAAGGACGUUACUAACGACGAUAUGCUUUGGGUAGCUGUAAGUAAGCGUUGAUCCAGAGAUUUCCGAAUGGGGGAACCCAGCAUGAGUUAUGUCAUGUUAUCGACAUGUGAAUUUAUAGCAUGUCAGAAGGCAGACCCGGAGAACUGAAACAUCUUAGUACCCGGAGGAAGAGAAAGAAAAAUCGAUUCCCUGAGUAGCGGCGAGCGAAACGGGAAGAGCCCAAACCAACAAGCUUGCUUGUUGGGGUUGUAGGACACUCUAUACGGAGUUACAAAAGAACAUGUUAGACGAAUCAUCUGGAAAGAUGAAUCAAAGAAGGUAAUAAUCCUGUAG